rnacentral:rRNA from 1 species
CAGAGGGCGCGAGCGUUGUCCGGAAUCACUGGGCGUAAAGGGCGCGUAGGUGGCCACUAUAAGGCCGCGGUGAAAGUUCGGGGCUCAACCCUGAAUCUGCCGCGGCGACUGUAGGGCUUGGGCACUGUAGAGGCAGAUGGAAUUCCGGGUGUAGCGGUGGAAUGCGCAGAGAUCCGGAAGAACACCAGUGGCGAAGGCGGUCUGCUGGGCAGUGGGAGCGCAAGCUCCUCUUAGCCGACACUGAGGCGCGACAGCGUGGGGAGCAAACAGGAUUAGAUACCCUGGUAGUCCACGCCGUAAACGAUGGGCACUAGGUGCUUUGGGGAGCGACCCCCGGGGUACCGGCGCUAAUGCAUGAAGUGCCCCGCCUGGGGAGUACGGCCGCAAGGCUG